rnacentral:rRNA from 1 species
UACGUAGGGGGCAAGCGUUGUCCGGAAUCAUUGGGCGUAAAGCGCGCGUAGGCGGCCCGGUAAGUCCGCUGUGAAAGUCAAAGGCUCAACCUUUGAAUGUCAGCGGAUACUGCCGGGCUAGAGUCCGGAAGAGGCGAGUGGAACUCCUGGUGUAGCGGUGGAAUGCGCAGAUAUCAGGAAGAACACCAACGGCGAAGGCAGCUCGCUGGGACGGAACUGACGCUGAGGAGCGAAAGCGUGGGGAGCGAACAGG